rnacentral:ncRNA from 1 species
UCAACGGAGAGUUUGAUCCUGGCUCAGGAUGAACGCUGGCGGCGUGCUUAACACAUGCAAGUCGAACGAGGUCCAACCUUCGGGUGAAGACCGAGUGGCGAACGGGUGAGUAACACGUGGGGAACCUGCCCUUCUCUCUGGGAUAACUCCGGGAAACCGGAGCUAAUACCGGAUACUCCUUGCGGACCGCAUGGUCUGCUCGGGAAAGCUCCGGCGGAGAAGGAUGGCCCCGCGGCCCAUUAGCUUGUUGGUGGGGUAACGGCCCACCAAGGCGACGAUGGGUAGCCGAGCUGAGAGGCUGAUCGGCCACACUGGGACUGAGACACGGCCCAGACUCCUACGGGAGGCAGCAGUGGGGAAUCUUGCGCAAUGGGCGAAAGCCUGACGCAGCAACGCCGCGUGCGGGAUGAAGGC